UACGAAGGGGGCUAGCGUUGUUCGGAAUUACUGGGCGUAAAGCGCGUGUAGGCGGGUCUUUAAGUCAGGGGGGAAAUGCCAAGGCUCAACCUUGGAACUGCCUUUGAUACUGGAGACCUUGAGUCCGGGAGAGGUGAGUGGAAUUGCGAGUGUAGAGGUGAAAUUCGUAGAUAUUCGCAAGAACACCAGUGGCGAAGGCGGCUCACUGGCCCGGAACUGACGCUGAGAGACGAAAGCUAGGGGAGCGAACAGG
rnacentral:rRNA from 1 species